rnacentral:rRNA from 1 species
GACGAACGCUGGCGGCGUGCUUAACACAUGCAAGUCGAACGGUGAAGCGCCUUCCUUUUUGGUGGGUGUGGAUGAGUGGCGAACGGGUGAGUAACACGUGAGUAACCUGCCCCCUUCUUCUGGAUAACCGCAUGAAAGUGUGGCUAAUACGGGAUAUUCUGGGUCUGUCGCAUGAUGGGUCUGGGAAAGAUAUUGUUUCGGUGGGGGAUGGGCUCGCGGCCUAUCAGCUUGUUGGUGGGGUGAUGGCCUACCAAGGCGGUGACGGGUAGCCGGCCUGAGAGGGUGGACGGUCACACUGGGACGGAGACACGGCCCAGACUCCGUCGGGAGGCAGCAGUGGGGAAUAUUGCACAAUGGGCGCAAGCCUGAUGCAGCGACGCCGCGUGAGGGAUGGAGGCCUUCGGGUUGUGAACCUCUUUCGCCAGUGAAGCAGGCCUGCCUCGUUUGUGGGUGGGUUGACGGUAGCUGGAUAAGAAGCGCCGGCUAACUACGUG